AGGAGCCGAAGAAGGACGGGACUAACACCGAUAUGCUUUGGGGAGCUGUACGUAAGCGUUGAUCCAGAGAUUUCCGAAUGGGGGAACCCACUAUCUUUAGUCGGAUAGUAUCCUUACGUGAAUACAUAGCGUGAGGAAGGCAGACCCAGGGAACUGAAACAUCUAAGUACCUGGAGGAAGAGAAAGAAAAAUCGAUUUCCUGAGUAGCGGCGAGCGAAACGGAAAGAGCCCAAACCAAGAAGCUUGCUUCUUGGGGUUGUAGGACACUCUAUACGGAGUUACAAAAGAAAGUUAUAAAUGAAGCGGUCUGGAAAGGCCCGCCAAAGACGGUAACAGCCCGGUAGUUGAAAUGGCUUUCCCUCCAGAGUGGAUCCUGAGUACGGCGGAACACGUGAAAUUCCGUCGGAAUCCGGGAGGACCAUCUCCCAAGGCUAAAUACUCCCUAGUGACCGAUAGUGAACCAGUACCGUGAGGGAAAGGUGAAAAGCACCCCGGAAGGGGAGUGAAACAGUUCCUGAAACCGUGU
rnacentral:rRNA from 1 species